rnacentral:rRNA from 1 species
UACGUAGGUCCCGAGCGUUGUCCGGAUUUAUUGGGCGCAAAGCGAGCGCAGGUGGUUUAUUAAGUCUGGUGUAAAAGGCAGUGGCUCAACCAUUGUAUGCAUUGGAAACUGGUAGACUUGAGUGCAGGAGAGGAGAGUGGAAUUCCAUGUGUAGCGGUGAAAUGCGUAGAUAUAUGGAGGAACACCGGUGGCGAAAGCGGCUCUCUGGCCUGUAACUGACACUGAGGCUCGAAAGCGUGAGGAGUAAACAGG